AAGGUCCCCCACAUUGGAACUGAGACACGGUCCAAACUCCUACGGGAGGCAGCAGUGAGGAAUAUUGGUCAAUGGACGAGAGUCUGAACCAGCCAAGUAGCGUGAAGGAUGAAGGUCCUACGGAUUGUAAACUUCUUUUAUAAGGGAAUAAACCCUCCCACGUGUGGGAGCUUGUAUGUACCUUAUGAAUAAGCAUCGGCUAACUCCGUGCCAGCAGCCGCGGUAAUACGGAGGAUGCGAGCGUUAUCCGGAUUUAUUGGGUUUAAAGGGAGCGCAGACGGGUCGUUAAGUCAGCUGUGAAAGUUUGGGGCUCAACCUUAAAAUUGCAGUUGAUACUGGCGUCCUUGAGUGCGGUUGAGGUGUGCGGAAUUCGUGGUGUAGCGGUGAAAUGCUUAGAUAUCACGAAGAACUCCGAUUGCGAAGGCAGCACACUAAUCCGUAACUGACGUUCAUGCUCGAAAGUGUGGGUAUCAAACAGGAUUAGAUACUCUGGUGGUCCACACGGUAAACGAUGGAUACUCGCUGUUGGCGAUAUACUGUCAGCGGCUUAGCGAAAGCGUUAAGUAUCCCACCUGGGGAGUACGCCGGCAACGGUGCAACUCAAAUGAAUUGACGGAAA
rnacentral:rRNA from 1 species